AUUCUUGCGCAGAGGUAAUACCUUAUCCAAUGAGCGUUUUUGCGACAGGAGAGGUGAUUGCUAAUUGCAAACUACUACCAAUGCAUCACAUCGUUCUUUGAGCGAUGUAAUUUUUCCAGCUUCUUCGGAAG
rnacentral:snRNA from 1 species